UACGAAGGUCCCAAGCGUUAUCCGGAUUUAUUGGGUUUAAAGGGUGCGUAGGCGGUCAAAUAAGUCAGUUGUGAAAUACGGCAGCUCAACUGUCGAGGUGCAAUUGAUACUGUUUGACUUGAGUACUGUUGAGGUAGGCGGAAUGGACGGUGUAGCGGUGAAAUGCUUAGAGAUCGUCCAGAACACCGAUAGCGAAGGCAGCUUACUAAAGAGUAACUGACGCUGAGGCACGAAAGUGUGGGGAUCAAACAGG
rnacentral:rRNA from 1 species